GAAAUGCGAUAAGUAAUGUGAAUUGCAGAAUUCAGUGAAUCAUCGAAUCUUUGAACGCACAUUGCGCCCGCCAGUAUUCUGGCGGGCAUGCCUGUUCGAGCGUCAUUUCAACCCUCAAGACCCCUUCGGGGGACUUGGUGUUGGGGACCGGCCCCGGCCUUUGCGCCCGCCGCCCCCGAAAUGAAUUGGCGGCCUCGUCGCGGCCUCCUCUGCGUAGUAGCACAACCUCGCAACGGGAGCGCGACGCGGCCACUGCCGUAAAACGCCCAACUUUUAACAGAGUUGACCUCGAAUCAGGUAGGAAUACCCGCUGAACUUAA
rnacentral:misc_RNA from 1 species